rnacentral:lncRNA from 1 species
GUGGAGAAUAGUAAUUAGAGAGAUAAUUAGGUUUUCUCAUUUCUCUUCUCUUUGAAUUUCUCUCUAAUUUCUCUUCUCCCUAUAUGUGAGACCCCAGAUAUACCUAUAUCUAAGAUAUAAUGUGGCUAAAUCUUAACACGCUUAAGCAUGUUGUGGUGGCUAGACCCAAGAGGCUUUAUAGAGAAGUUAAGCGUGCCUAGGACGGAGUGAGUUCUAGUGGGGUGACCCCUGGGAAGCAGGGGAUUGUAGCCAAGAUGGUAUCAAGCCAAUUACAGCGGAAGUGUGAGAUGGAAUCUCGGCUGAGGCCAUGGGUCUAGAUGACGGGCUAGCGAGACGAAGUUCUCACUCGCCUCGGUAUUUGAGUCUGAGCACGACGAGAGUCAGCGGGCUUUAAAGGAGGGAGAUUGUGAGACCCCAGAUAGCUCCUAUAUAUUAAAGAUAUAAAGAGAGCUAAACUCUUAACCCGCAUUAAGCAUUUUGUGUGAUGGUGCUUAGACCCAAGACGGUUACAGAGAGUUAAGCGUGCUAGGGACCGGAGAGUAGUCCUAGGAUGGGACCCCCUGAAGUCGGGGUCCACAUCCUAUUCAUCUCUACCCACCCAUCAAAUUGGAUGUGGCGGUUUAAGAUACUUAGCGAGCACAAGGCGCUGCCUGUGCUCUUAUAUAGGACCAGUAGCCUACUCUAUAUAUAUAUAUUAUAUAAUAUAUAUUAAUAUAUAUAUAUAUAAAAUAUAAUAUUGUACAUAGCUAUCAAUAGUAUCCAAACAGCCUUGGUACUAUUGAGUUUCGGCUGUUGGAUGAAAAGAGUGCGUUAGGAUGUAGUGGUCCCGUUAAAUUAAUAGUGUCCCCAAAAAAAAAAAAAAAAAUAAAAAGGGGUUGAGUGGGUGGUUGGUUUAAUAGUAUAAUUAAACGGGAUGAAAUGAUCAAUAGAGUAGAUCUAACGGGAAAAUACAAUAGUACAAGAGCUUCGGUACUAUCGAUAAUAUAAUAUGCCAGAGCUCUAUAUAUAUAUAUUAUUAUAAGUAUAUAUAUAUAUAUAUGUAUGUAUGUAUGUAUGUAUGUAUAAAUAAUAGUGCAAUAAAAUUUUCUUUCCUUCGUUUAUUUUUAAUUGUACAAUAUAUAUAUUUUUUCAUUUCUUUUUCUUUUUUAAUUUUUCUUUUUCCCCUUCAUCAUUACCAUUAAUGUUGAAAAAAAGAUGAGGUAAUUGGCGAUGGUGGUGUACGAGACAAUGGUGCCACCGCAUGAAAUUGAGGCUAUUGGCGACGGAGUGCGUAAAGAGGGCGGUGAUGACGGUCAUAUCAUCGUGGCAGACUAGCGGUGAGGGGGAGGGGGGGAAAGUAGAACGAAGGCAAAAAGAGGAAAAAAAAGAAGAAGGAAGAAUAUGAUGCAUAAUAAAGAAAGAAAAAAAAUGUUGUACUAUUUGCACUAUACUAGUAUGAAAUAGCACAAUCAUACUUGUGUUGCAUUAUUUGAAAAGAGAUGUAUUCUUUUAAUUUUUAUCAUUUUUUCUAAACUUCUGUGUCUGACAGCAGUUUUCGUUUCUUGAGAAAAAAAUAGAUGUAAUUAUGUUUGUUAUCUAUACUUUUCCAAAACGAGAGAAAUUAAUACGAUAAGAGAUCAGAGAGAAAUGAAAGAGAGCGGAUAUUUUGGUCUACUUUUUAAAAUCUGUUCUUAAUAUGCAAAGUUCAAAAAUAUGGCCUGUUUAUGCAAAACCACUAAAUCAGUGGAUUUUUAAUGCAAAAAAGCCUACAAAAAAUUCAAACGUUUUUAGAUUCGUAGCCCCUAAUACUAUGAAAUUACUAUAAUAUGAUAAAAUUAUAAUGACAAUCGCAUUAAAAAAUUAUGUAUAAUUAGAUCUAAGAUUGGAAGCUCUAAAGAUUGAAAGCAUUGUCGAUAUUUUGUCCUUUUAAAAGCAUGAAAGCGAAUGCUUUUGAUCGCCUUAGUACAAAACUGUUUUGCUUGACUGUAGACCAUGUUACGUACUAACUGAUAAAGUUAAUAUUUAAAAAAUAUUAUUGCUGAUCACUGUACUUAGCACAGUUGGCUUAGAGUUUUAUGAUUAAUAUUCAAGUUUUUAAAUUCGAAACCUAAAAACUUGCUAACUUUCCGUCAAGAAGUAUACAGUGACAAAACAAGUAGUAUAUAAAAUUAAAGAGUGUGCAAAUUUAAAGAUAAGGAUGAGAUAUUGGUCUGUGGAUGAGCAAGGGGUAUAUAUACAAUUAAUUUAUACUUUUUAUUCCGAAUGUAUGCCAAAAAUAAUUGUAGUUGAAAAUGGAAGAAGAUAUAGAAUCCAACAAGCCUGGAAACACAACCAGAAUUUUUCUUCGCCAUCAUUUUCUCAUUUGAUUGUCAUGUCCAAGUGAUUUUGAGUGAUCUCUUUAUUUUGACGUGUUACGUCGAGAUUAGUUUGGAACUACGCUAAAUAAGAUCAUGGAAUAUAUAACUUUCACCAUUACGAUCGAGAUUAUAACACGCCACUACGGAAAUGGCUAAUGCAUGCCAAAGUAAAUUCUAUUCCCACCUAUCAAGCAAAAUAAAUUAUCUUUUCGAUCUGAUCUGUAAUGGAAGGAUGAGGAGGUAAUCCCAUCAUAGAGAAAAUUCGCCAAAGAAUGGUGGCCCUAUCAGCAUUUUCCCUUUAUGCCAUUGGUCCUGUAGGACUAGCUUGAUAUAUAAUACCGUGGCUAAAAUUACUAAUUUUAUAUUUUAGAAGGCUCUGAAAAAUUUAUAGUAUUCUUAAUUUCUUUUUUUUUUUUCACAUUUUAUGCUACAAAAUUGACUGCAACUAAUGGUUACACUCUAUAUAUAAACACACUGCAGCGAAAGCAUAAAUAAAAAUGUGGGAUAAUAUCUAAUAUACUCCUCAAAACUUCUGAAAUAUCUUAUCUAUUUUUAUUUUUUUUUGUUUCAAUAUUACCGCUCAUAUAUUUCUCCGAUAUUCAAAAAUAACAAUGCUGUUAUAAGUACCCAUUAAGUCAUCUCGGGUUUAAUCCGAGUUAAAUUUCUACCAAAGUUAAAAAAUAGUCAAAAUACCUAUUUUGCCUCUAAUUUGAGGGUAAAUAAAAAAUGUUGGAUGAUGAUAAAAGUGUAUAUUUGAAAAGACAAAAAAUCAAAAUACUUCUUUUAACCUCUAACUGAACGGUAAAUAAGAAAAAUUAAUGACGGUAGAAGAGUAUAUUUAAAAGGGUAAAAUAGUAAUUUCACAGAGAUAAUGACUGUUCCUAAUAGUUCACUAACAAGAUUUUACUCUAAAAAUAUAUUUGAAAUAAGUACUUUAAUGUUAACUUUCUAAGAAAGAUAAAAAAGAAAUUUAGAAACUUUUCAAGAAUAUAUAAAUAAUUGCCCUAAAAAGAAAAAAACUAUAUUAUGGUAGAAUUGGACAAUCAAAAUAUUGUUCAUGCAAUCCGAAAGUACAUCAAGUAGAACCCAUGAACUAUGCGAAUAUAUUUACUGAUCGAGGAUGUUCGAUGUAUUUCUUCUGAAAAUGAAGAUAUUUCCUUUGCGGAUUUCUUCCAGAAGACUUUGAUUUAAUUAUCUUUAAGAAAAGAAGAUUUAAGUUUCGAAGCUCGUAAGAAGGUAAUUUCUGAUAUCUCCAUAUUAACUCUGGAGAAAUCUUACUAAAUUUUUGUUCUCCUUCUCCAAGAGUAAAAAUAAAUUUAAAACAAAAAAGAUCUCCUUGGUGUUCUGGGGCAGAUCUAUUUUACGUAUUAGCUUUUUAUUGUUUUGGGCAUGAUUGUUUCUGUAGAUGGAAGUUGCUUUUGAAAGUAAUUUAAGGCUUGCUAAUACACUUUGCUACAGCAAUUAAGUGGAAGGAAAAAUAAACACUUUCAUUCAAAAAACUUGAUUGCUAAAGGCUUACAAUUAAAGGACUUAAAUAAAAGAAAAAACUUGAGGCUUAAGAAAACCUAACUCAACACAUGUUCUCCACUACAUCCACUACACAUGUGCUCCUAGAAACUAGCUACCAUGAACUCCACAACAUUACCCACUACUUACACAAAUUAAGGCACUAAUCCACUAUUUCCAUGAUCUUAGCCCACUACUUGCACCCACUACUUGCACAAUAGUAGGGCCACUAACAUCAUAAGAUUUGCAUCAUUUUCCAACAGUUUCAUCAUAAGUAGAAGAGGGUGAAGUUCUUUUCAGCUAUAGAUGCGCACUUUUAUUUCUGAUUCACUGUAAAUUAAAUGUAUAUACGUAAAUCAACUUUUUCAAAAAUGUUAUAAUUCAUAUUGUUGUGUGUCGUGCCGAAGUGAAUUACUGAAUAGAAAAGAGAUAGAAAAGAGAUAGAUAUUGUUGUGGAUAUAGUAGUACUUAGUUUGUUUCCAGCAUGGGUUGUUGUUUCCACCAUGGGUUAUUUAAUUUCUUUUUCUAUAUCUCAUCUUCGAUCUUUUCUUUUCUUUUCUUUUUUUUUUCCCCUCUCGUUCAACUCAUUCUUUAAAUGCAAAGUUGAUAAAAAAACACAUCAUUAGUUUGUAUUGCAGUCAAUAUACAGAUAAUGUAUUUUAGCCACCAAUAAUGCCUUAUUGAUUAUCUGAUGAUAGGCUGAUAAGUCAUUUUAAAAGAAGGGAUGCUAUUUUUUAUUGCCUAUUUUUUAUACUUUGAAAGGCAGGAAUGAUAUUGUUUGAAAAUAAGAAGUUUUAUAUCUCUUCUUUUCUUUAUUUUCUUAAUUUCAUUAAUAAAUUGGCCAGAGAUUGAUCAAAGCCAAGCACGCGGCACAUUGGCAAACAACUAAUUUUUUUAUGAACAAAUAAGUAAUACAAUUCCCUAAAUUUAAUUAUAUAUGUGUUCUUAUAUUCAAAUGUGAAAAAAAAAAAAAAACAAAUUCCUCCACCAGUUGACCAUUUAUAUGUGUAUACAUGUAAGCUACAGCUCAAACCAUGCCUUAUUUUACAUUUAUAAGUAAUAACUGAUCUUUCGGAUUUUUGGGGACCAAUGACUCCUUCAUAAUUGUAAAUCAUCAAAUUGGUUCUUCAAUUUCCCUUGUUACAAUAUAUAUAAAUGUGUUAUGAGUCUCAAUUAAUAUAAGGCUAUUAAUAGCUGUUGUAGCUUUAAAGAAACAAUGUAAGCUAUACGCAUGAAAUAUCCCUUUGGGUUGUCCCUAGCUUAUCUGUAGGGUUCCGAAUAUCUAGAUUGGAAGUGGUCUUGCAUAUCUACACUCGGUUGGGUCCACUUUAAUCAUUCCGAGAAUAAGAAAAAGAGCUGUUUUUUUUUUUUUUUUCUUUUCUAUUUUUGGACAUGUAUGGUGUCCUAUUUGGAGUUGUUUUUCCAGUUAUGGUUUGAAGAUGUCUAUCUGAUCAUACAUUUUUACCUCCUCUUUUUGUGUAUUCUUGUCGCAUUUUGCUGUGUUACUGGUAUUCCAAUUGUAAAGAAAUAUAUAUUUAAGGCAUUGUAGUAGGGUGGGUCCAAGUCAUCAACUGUUGAGCGAGUAGGGGUUCUAGUUGGGGGUAAGGCGCAAAAGUUCCAAUUUUUCACAAUAAAGUAUCUACUCUUUUUUUUUUUCUUUUUCUUUUUUUUUUCUUUUUUUUUUUUUUAAGAGAAGGGUAGCACGCUACCUGCUUUAUUCAUUAGAUAAAUAAAUUUAGCUAUAUAGGGUGAGACAGCUAGGGUCUCGGGUGGACAACGAAACAAAAGAGAAAUUAAGGAACUAAAAAAAAUAGCAGAAAAGAAGUGAAAAAAGCGAAAAACAAGCAUUAGAACAAAAGGUGUAAAAAAUGCAAAAUCACCCGACCAUACAAAAAUCGGCCACUCCUUCGCAAGAACUCUAAUACGAUGAGUAAUAGAGAUAACAUUAGUGGGUAGGUUUCGAAAACUAAUAUUAUUUCUUUCGCACCAAAUUGUCUACCACAAGGCUGCCAAAAGUAUCUGAGGCUUCAAAGUAUCAGUUCAUGAACCCCUCCCUGGCAGCUCUUCCCAAACAAAAUUGACGUCCUCACUAGAGGGGUAGACGUAGACUCGUCGAGGAUGGAAAUAAAAAGGACCUUGCUAACGACACAUCCCACCAACAAGUGGUCUACUGUCUACAGAUCAGUGCCACACAUGACACACCCAUUGUUACCUGCCCAACCCCUUUUGAGGAGAUUGUCCACAAUAGGCAUCCAAUUGUAAAUAAAUAUAUGUAAAGACCACAUGUACAAUUGUGUUAAUUUAAAAUUUUUUAAACCAAAUUAUGAAUUUAUUAUAAUUAAUAGCUCUUUUUGCCAUGUUCAGUUAGGAGCUAAUGAAAUGCACAGUUCCAUAUCAUCUGAAAAAGUACUCGUAACAACUAUAUGCAGGAAAACCAACAUUAAAUAUGAUAAUAUUUGUGAUUUAAUUAUUUAAAUGACUAAGCAGAAUCAAAAAUUGAGGAGGCCUCCAUCAAAAGAUACUUCGUUGAGGAACAAUUCUAAAAGCACAAAGAGUCGAAGGGGUGUCCCUAUCCAUUUUACCUUUGUUUUUCUUUUAGUUCGACUUUUCCAUAGAAAUCCUAUUGAAAUCUACAUUUGAUUCGGAUUGCUUGAAGUAAAUCUUAUGUAUCCUAAUUAUCAUUGAUGUUCAUAAGCAUAAAUAUAUUUAGUUAAUUAGGCCUGUUUGGAUAUCAAAAUGUUAGAACAAAAGUACAAAUAUCUCAAUGUGAUUAAGAAACCUACUUGUAUUGUAAGGAAGUGAAUUAUCGAAAUACGAGAGUUAGACUUCAUCCAGAAUCGACCAAGGGUCGUAUUGGUGAGUUUUAGAAAAUCCAAAGAUGUCAAAAUCACCAAAAGUGCAUUGAAAACGAGUCCACGAGAGCAAAUAGUGCAAAACCUGCACUGGAACAAAACUGCUCUCAGGGACCGGUCCCUUGGUAGGGAGGGACCGGUCCCAUCGGCUGGUGGUUGCGGGGAUCCUUGAGGCAACCGGUCCCUGACAGGGAGAGACCGGUUCCCGAACGUGACCCCAGCGAGAAAAGCUAAAAUUUGGCUAAGUUCCGAAAAUCCUGCUCUCGGGAAUUGGUCUCUCGGUCAAGGACCGGUCUCCCGGGGACCGGUCUCUCAGGGAAGGACCGGUUCCCAAAUGCGUGACUCGAGCCGAAGCUCUCGAGGACCGGUCCCAAGUCGGGGAGACCGGUCCCUCUAGGCAGAAAAUGCCCAGUGAAAGGCAGUGCACAGGAUGAAAAGUGGAGGGACUUAUUAGGAUAUUGUUACAUUAGAGAGUGUAGGGGACCCCCUCCCUCUCUCCAACCCUCAUUUCUCCCUCACUCUUUCACACUCUUUCUCCCUCUCUCUCUGUCUCUAGAAAGAAAAGAGAAGAAGAACAAGAAGGAGAAGAAGGAAAGGAAGAGAAGGAAAGGAAGGAGAAGAAGAAGGAGAUCAAGAGGAAGACCUUGGACAUCUUCCUCUCCCUCUCCUCUUCUCCUUGGUGUAGCUAAGAGGUAAGCUACCAAACCCUAUCUUAUGAAACUUAGGAUUUUUGGGCUUUGAGCUUUGGAAAUGGGGCCAAAUGGACCCCUAGCACCAUUGUUGGUGGAUUGAAGCUAGAGUUAGGGUUCCAAAUUGCAAAUGGCAAGAUGGGAACCCUAGGGCUCCAAAAGAGGAUUUUUGGUAAAGUAUGAGAUUGAUCUCAUUUGAGACCUUAUAAACCUAAUUGGUAGGUGUCUAAACGUGGGGGCGAAGUCGGAUUUACUAUUCGUCAAGUGGGUCAAGAGCUAUCGGCAAAAUAAGGCCGAUUGAGUAUCAUUUUGGACCAAGAAGACCGAGACUUCAUCGUAACGUCCGUUGGAGGGCAUUUCUAGAGCCUCCAUACCCUCAAGAGGUGGGGGGUGUCAUCCCGAAGCAUCCGGGUUUCUUUUUAUGUCUAAGUUAAUUUUAUUCAUCAUAUGUUGAUUGUGCAUUAUAAGAUUAGUAGAAGUAUAUUUUCAUUCCUUGCAUGCUUACUUAGUAGUGUAGCGGUAUGGGCUUAACACUUGGACUAGGGAGGCAUGAGGAUUGGGUCGUGAGACAAAGAAUCCUAUAGUGGCAAAAGAGAUGAACUUGGAUAUAGCCUAGUAGAGUGGCAUUGAACUAGUGCAGUAGAAACACUAAACAAGAACGAGUGGCAUGUCAACUAACUAGAAAACUUACUACAAUGAUCGAACGAGUGGUAUCGAGUCUAGGGUAGUAAACAUGACAUGGUUCUAGAGAUAGUAGAGAUCCCAGCAUGUAGGAUGCAUUGUAUAUUGUGCAGCAGAGGCACGUUGACCCUUGUAGAUAGUGUAUCCUCUUGUGAGGAUUGGAUCAUACUCACUAGUCUGUUUUCACUAUCGGUGGUCGCUCCACCGUGGCACGAGUCUCCAGAGUACUUCACUAGGGGCAGACGUAGUUGUCCCGCAGACGGUCUCGGUGUGCGAGUGCAGCUUCUCCUCACCUAUGAGAUUGAGAGUGAGUUGAGGGUU